rnacentral:lncRNA from 10 species
GAGGAUCAGUCGGCCCAAACUAGUCCAGGUGUGGAGGAUCAGUCAGUGUGGUUUUUUUUGCAAUAAUGGUCUCCGUUAUUUCCCCCACUGUCCAUACUCCUUUUCAAUCUGACUGCAGCUCCUCAAGAUCAAGAGGUGGAGUUUUUGUUCCCACUUGUUAUAGGCUAAAUUGUGUCCUCACAAACUUUAUAUGUUGAAGCCCCGACCCCCAGUACCUCUGAAUGUGACUGUAUUUGGAAAUAGGGCCUUUAAAGAGGCAAUGAAGUUAAAAUGAGGUCAUUAGGCUGGGCCCUAAUCCAAUCUGACUGGGGUCCUUUUAAGAAGAGGAAAUGUAGACACAUAAGGAGACACCAGGGGGCGCAAACAGAGGAAAGACCAUAUGGGGACACAGGGAGGAGGUGGCCAACUGCAAGCCAAGGACAGAGGCCUCAGAUGGAACCACCUUGCAGAUACUAAUCUCGAACUUCCAGCUUCGAGAAUCAUGAUAAAAUACAUUUCUGUUGUUCAAGCCACUCAGUCUCAGUCUGUGAUGCUUUGUUAUGUCAGCUGAGCAGACACCACUUGAAUCUGGGCUGGCUACAAAACCGGCUUUGGCCAACAGAGUACAGUGGAGGUAAAGCCAUGCUGGCUCUGAGCCUAGGCCUCAAGAGAAAAUGUGGUUUUUGGUUUAUUUCUUAGAACCCUCCCAAGCACCCACAUGAACAAGUCUGAGCUAGCCUUUUGGAGGAUGGGGACCCACAUGGAGCAGAGACAGCCAUCCCAGUCUCAGAUACACAACUGCAGGCACAUGAGAAAACCCAGCCAAGAAAAGAAGAACCACCCAGCUGAGCCCAGCCCACAUUACUGACCCACAUUACCAUGAACUAAAUAAAAGAAUGUUUGUCAUUUUAAGCCACUCACUUUUGGGGCAUUUUACAGCAAAAACUAAUUGGUGCAGUCAGUGUCCCGAGCACCAGAUGUAUAGGCAGAGGCAGGAGAGCUGAAGCCCCCUGGCCCUGGAAGGAUGCCACUAAGAGACCACCCACCUUAGCAGGGCACUUGAGGUCUGGGACUCACCUGAGCAGCUUGGGGACAGUGAACCUGAAGACAUCACUGAUGACGAGGCUGAGGGUCCCCAGGAGGAAGAUCUGUGACCCGGGGCCACGUGCUGGGAUCAGCUCUUUACACGAAGGAGCUCACUGACUCCCCUGGAUCCCCUUGCCAGGUCGCACCUCCCAUCAAGGAAGAUGUCCAGAUUGCUGUCUGACGUCUGGUCUCUGGACUGAAGGCCAUUUAGUGCAGAUCUCACAAAUGAUGGUGGGGCAAGGCAGGGGGUAUGCAUGAGUGGCAUGGGCAAGGUGUGAGUUGGGGGAUACAAAAGGGAGUGGUGGAGGACGGGCACGGUGGCUCACACCUGUAAUCCCAGCACUUUGGGAGGCCAAUGUGGGCGAAUCACCUGAGGUCAGGAGUUCAGGGCCAGUCUGAUAGCCUGAGCAACAUGGAGAAACCCCGCCUCUAAUAAAAAAUACAAAAAUUAGUGAAGCCGACUUGACCAGCAGGUGGCUGUUGUGUGGCCUCUCAGGAGGACGCCCUCUCCCUUCCCCCAGUGGUUGCAAAAUACUUCAGAAAGAAAACCAAAGUUCUCUGUGGGUGCAGUCGGUUGUUUCAGAAGCUGACGGAGCCUGGUCUUUGUAUAACCCCAUCUUUCCCCUUUCUUUCUGUCAACUGUUUAUGGGAGGAUUCUCAAACUGUUCUGGAGAAUGUUUCUACCCUUUAGUUCUAGUGUUGGGUGACCUGUAAUUUUCAUGUUGGCUGGGGAUGCCAGGAGUUGGCAGAGGCUCCUUCCAGAGCCCCUGUGGACUGAAUUCUGCCACUUCCGUAAAAUCAUUUAAAAGUAGAGGGUGAGUCAAGUGCAGUAGCUCACAUCUGUAAUCCCAGCACCUUGAGAGGCCAAGGCAGGCAGAUACCCUGAGGUCAGGAGUUCAAGAUCACCCUGGCCAACAUGGUGAGACCCUGUCUCUACUAAAAAAUUUAAAAAUGAGCUAGAUGUGGUGGCCCACGCCUGUGGUCCUA